rnacentral:rRNA from 1 species
UAGGGAAUCUUCCGCAAUGGGCGAAAGCCUGACGGAGCAACGCCGCGUGAGUGAUGAAGGUCUUCGGAUCGUAAAACUCUGUUAUUAGGGAAGAACAAAUGUGUAAGUAACUAUGCACGUCUUGACGGUACCUAAUCAGAAAGCCACGGCUAACUACGUGCCAGCAGCCGCGGUAAUACGUAGGUGGCAAGCGUUAUCCGGAAUUAUUGGGCGUAAAGCGCGCGUAGGCGGUUUUUUAAGUCUGAUGUGAAAGCCCACGGCUCAACCGUGGAGGGUCAGUGGAAACUGGAAAACUGGAGUGCAGAAGAGGAAAGUGGAAUUCCAUGUGUAGCGGUGAAAUGCGCAGAGAUAUGGAGGAACACCAGUGGCGAAGGCGACUUUCUGGUCUGUAACUGACGCUGAUGUGCGAAAGCGUGGGGAUCAAACAGG